rnacentral:lncRNA from 1 species
UUUUAGGGUUAAACUAGAAAACAAAAGGCGUGAAUGAACUCAACAGACCGCCCUCUUGAGACUCUGCCAUCGGUUCCACCAAUCCAAAUCUCUCUCACUCUCUCAACGGUUUGGAAGGACUCACCGAUCUGUGAGGUUUACAAGAGGUUUGUUACUCUAAAGUUAAUCACCUAACGAAUGGCAAGUCAAGAGGAUGUGAAGCAUAUCGAGGACUGCUCUGUUGCCAAUGCGUUGGGCACAUGGGUUUUCUCCGUAGCUGGUGCUUUGCUUGCUAUACCGAUAGGAAUAAAGAGGAAAUCACUUGCACCCCUCGUGUUUUUUGGGACUACAGGGACAAUGGUCGAUAUAAUUUUGGGAAUUAGUGCCUGCGAGAGAGAACAUGCUGAACGCCAAAUGAAGAUUCUUGAACAACAAACUUCUUCUUCUGAUGAUGAUGAUGCAUUUUGAGCCUUGUUUUCACGGUUAUCGAUAUUUUGUUCUAGAACUUUGUUUAGUCGAUAAAGUUUGAUCUGUGAUGACAUCAACUUUCGUUUGAACAUUCCAAAUCUUAGCGUAAAAUAAUUUGGAAGAAUAUGCGUUAUAACUCACCUCUUGAGGUCAAAUAUAAUUGUGUUUGAUUUUGAGAUUGACGCUUGUUUGUUAGGGCUGCCUUGGUCCGUUUGACUCUUCAAAGUCAAUUGGUUCAUUUGUCGGCCCCGGUAAUCAAACUAGUUUUAGAAAUUUGUGAAGCAUGCUUAGAUUAUGUUUCAUAAUCUCUAGAUCAAGUGGUGGAAGGCUUGCAUUUCUUUUGAGAGAUGCAAGUUCAACUCUCACUUGGUGCAGAGUGAGGCAUUGGUGGGCAAUGAUAGGAGACCUAGGGAAACCUGGGUUCGAUCCCUGAGCCAAACGGGUUUUACCGGUAAUUUCACCGUCGUGCCUACGGGCGGGUGGGUUACCGGGUUUUCCCCGGCAUUGGUGGUGGACUCGGGUUACUCUCGGAGUACUCCGUUUGGUCCAGUGGGUGCCCCGAGAGUGCUCGGGAUUGAUUCUGUUGACCGUUAAAAAAAAAAGAUUAUGUUUCAUUAUGUUUUUAUUGAAGCUUCUCCAUAAUUGCUAUCUAGGAAUUAUUUAAAGGCUAAUCAGAUCUGGGAAAGGAUCAUGGAGUCUGGUGUUGUUCUUCACAGGACGAGAAAUCAGAGCGGGAUUUGAUUUCUUCUGCUCUUCAUAAUCGCUUUAAUUCUCCACUAAUUAUGUCUUUGAGCUCUUGAAUAACCUCUUCUGGAAUUAGCGCCAUUUUGGGGCAUUCGGAGGUGUUACCGACCCCGAUAUCCCUGCAGAACUCGAAAAACAUCGAGACUUCUUCGCCUUGAGCUUUUGCUUUCUGCACAAUCGUCCAUGGCUUCAAGAACAAGAACAUUGACCGUUUGACUCGAUUUCGGUUGGAUCCUGAGCAAUGAAUCAAGCAAGCCUUGGAGUCUUUGUAACCAAAUCAAAUCUUGUAUCAUCAACAUUCGUUUUUGCUCUUCGU